UGAGCUUCAUUGUCCCAGACCAAGGCACUUAGUCCUGUUCAAGUACCUACUUUAUCAUCCAUUAGAUGCUUCGCCAUCCUGGAGAGCUCAUCUCCUAGGACCUAUUGAAUUCAGAGACAAAAAUAGCUCAGUAACCAAGACUAAGUGACCUAUCCAUCAAUGAGAUUGUGAUACAGAACUUUAAAUCUUGAACUGGGUACUGCAAAGACAGAAGAAAUAAAUGGAAUUAAUUCAUUCUGGCUUUUGAUAACUUCAGAGAUGAUAACAUUGGAAUAAAGGAAAA
rnacentral:lncRNA from 10 species